UGGGGAAUAUUGGACAAUGGGCGAAAGCCUGAUCCAGCAAUACCGCGUGUGUGAAGAGGGCCUUCGGGUUGUAAAGCACUUUAAGUUGGGAAGAAAAAGCUUCACCUAAUACGUGAAGCCUUGACGGUACCGACAGAAUAAGCACCGGCUAACUCUGUGCCAGCAGCCGCGGUAAUACAGAGGGUGCUAGCGUUAAUCGGAUUUACUGGGCGUAAAGCGUGCGUAGGUGGUUUGAUAAGUCGAUUGUGAAAGCCCCGGGCUUAACCUGGGAAUUGCGGUCGAUACUGUCAGACUCGAAAACGGUAGAGGGAGGUGGAACUCCAGGUGUAGCGGUGAAAUGCGUAGAUAUCUGGAAGAACACCGAUGGCGAAGGCAGCCUCCUGGGCCCGUUUUGACACUGAGGCACGAAAGCGUGGGUAGCAAACAGGAUUAGAUACCCUGGUAGUCCACGCCGUAAACGAUGAGAACUUGACGUUGGUUUGCUUAGCAAAUCGGUGUCGUAGCUAACGCGAUAAGUUCUCCGCCUGGGGAGUACGGCCGCAAGGUUG
rnacentral:rRNA from 1 species